rnacentral:lncRNA from 1 species
UUUAACACAUUCAUGUCCAGUCAUACCAUAUUCAUAACAAAAUGCCAUUUUAACCAUUAAGAAUAACAUGAUCAAAACAUGAAAUACACACAUUCAUGCAUAUAGUUUACAUUUAUCCCAACACUAAAAUAUCAUAUAGAGACCAAAGCAACAUGUCUCAAAAUCAACAUACAUACACAACGACACCUAUGUACAUGUCAUAUAUAAUCGAGCUAAUAUGAACCAAAGUCUAUCGAAACUUAAGAUGGAUAGUGUGAACUUUGGUGUGGUCCGAUCCACUCGAUCUUAACUGUCCAUCUACAAGGAUAAGCAACAUAAGCAUAUUAAAUUUAACUUGACUUACCUUAAUAUUAAACAAUAUAAAUAAUUGAAACAUAUGGGACAAAGCAUGUUAUAAACCUUGACAUCCUUAUACAAUUUACACCACAAAUCCCAUGUUUAGUGCAUUACAUAAAUACAUCAUAUCAAAUGCCAUAUGAUUUUAUUCAUACACAAAUAAUCAUACCAUUCAAUACAAGCUCAUCAUACAACCUUGUAAAUAACAUCUUUUUUAUUCAUUACCUUUCUAUUUCGUUAAACGUUUUUGCUCAGAGAACUAUAUUAAAUUAAUCUCGGAUAGACAAGACUUAAAUUGCUCUUACGAGUUGGGGAGAGUUUAGAACACAUGCAGUAUUUCAAUCAUCGAUAAGAUAACCAACUCCAAUACAUGGUACCUCUUAUAUUUAUAUGGCAUGAAAGCCAACACCGGUACAUAGUACCUAUUGUAUGUAUAUGACAUGAAAGUUGACACCGAUACAUAAUACUUGUAUGUAUAUGGCAUGAUAGCCAACACCAGUUCAUAGUACAUGUUGUAUUUAUAUGGCAUGAAAAUCAAUGUCGGUACAUAGUACUUGCUGUAUGUAUAUGGCAUGAUAGCCAACACCAGUACAUAGUACCUAUUAUAUAUAUAUAUAGCCUAAUUGUGUACUAAGUUCUCUCGGGCCACAAAUCUAUUUCCAACCUUCUAAACUAUCAUAACAUUGCCAUAUACAUGGGGUUUUUUACUGAAAUAAAUUAAGAAAAAGAAUUAUAUACCAAAAUAGGUUGUCAGCUGAAUUAUUUAUCAAAAUGGGUUGUUCAUUUCAUUUGCGCUUAUCUGACAGGCGCGACUCUUUUUUUGAUAUUAAAAAAAAUAUAUAUAUUUUUUAAAUAAAAUAUUAUUUUUUAUUUUCAAAUCAGUAUAACCCAUGUAUAGAUACGAAUACAGGUUGCGUCUAUCUCAGAGGCGCGACUAAUUGAGCCUUUCUCAGAGGCGCUAUUAAUUGUGCCUAUCUCAGAGGCACAAAUGGUGGGGCCCACAAGAGUGUCUGUUGCUUAAUUUUACCCCUAUAUAUACCUUAAAAAUUGUCAAUAAAAAUAAAAAAUCAAAUAAAAUUACAAUAUAUAAAAAUUACAUUAAAAAAAUACAAAACACUGGAAACAUUGAUAUUUGUGGGUGUUAAAUAAUUUAUAACUUAAUUUUAAAUUCAUCAGAUACUAAACUAAACACAACAUUGAUAUUUGUGGGUAUUAAAUAUUUUAAUUAAAAUUUUAAAUAAUUUUAAUAAAAGUAUUUGUCAAUAUCUUAAUUCAUACUUAGAAUCAACAGUGCAUUAAAUGGAAUUCGAAGAUUAUAUCCUACUUGUUAUUGUAGAUAUAAAUAUCCAUAUCCCAUAUUUUUUCACACAGUCAAAACUCUACUCCCAUUGUUUAAAAUAUAUCUUAAUUAUGAGUUUUGGGAAACGCUUUUAAUUGAUACUAUUAAUGUAUUAUUAUCAAUUUUUUAUUUUUUUUAAGUUGCUAUUAAGUAUUGGUAUGUUAAUACUUGAUUUAUAUUCUUCAAUAUUUCUACAAUCAUUUUUUAUAAAAAUAAUUUUAAAGUAUAUAAAUUUAUGAAAAAAAUCUGUUAUGAUUAAACUUAGACAAAUUUAUAUCCAAGUUGAUAUAAAAAAUAUGAAAUGAGUCUGCAGUAACAGCAGUAGAUGGCACGCAGGGGGCUGUUUGUACACUGUGCGGAACAGUACCAUUUGCGCCUACCUGUCAGGCACGAUUAGUCGCGCCUAUCUGACAGGUGCGACCCAUUCUAAUAUAUUUUUUACUCGUAUUUUGAUCCGUUGACCGUAUUUUUACAUGCAUAUAAAUUUAAAUAUUUUUAAUAAAAAUAAAAAUAUAUAUAUUUUAUUUAAAAAAAUAAAAAAAAUAUUUUAAUAUAAAAAAAAGAGUUGCGCCUGUCAUAGGCGCGAAUGAAAAAAACAACCCAUUUUGAUAAAUAAUCUAGCUGACAACCUAUUUUGGUAUAUAAAUUUUUUUUAAAUUUUUUCAGUAAAAAACCCCAUAUACAUGUAACAUGAUUCAAUUAACAAUCCAUGAAUCUUCCAUUCUAAAUAACUAUUUAUUUCACUCGUUACUAUUAUCGUACUUAUACUAAUUCAAUCUCUGUAGUCGUAUACAUGUUUUUCAUAUUUCAAAAACAAUCAAAACAUAUUUUAAACCGUGUAAUAUCAUCAUAUACACAUCAUUCAUUUAUACAACAAUUUCACGAUCAUUCAUUACCAUACAUCUAUUCAUAUUUAUCAUAUAUUUCAUAUUUUACGAUUUAAUCCAUUUAAUGCCAAAAACUUUAUAUAUAUAUAACAUUUCCAACUAACAGUAAAAUAAAAUAAUACAAAUAUAUAAAAAAAAUUAAUGAAGUAAGUCUAUAUGAACUUACCUAGAAAACAAUAACUACAAAGUGUCAGAGACUAAUCUACACUCUCUCAUAUUUCUCGAUUAACUUUCAAUUUAUUUAAAUCUCAAUCUAUAACAAUUUAUUGCCAAUUAUCAAUGACAUUUACUUUAUAAUAUCCUAUUCAAGGCAUAUGACAACUUAAUUUUAUUUUACAUAAUUUUCCUAAAAUUUUACAUUUUAUUCAAUUUAAUCCUUAAAAUCAAAAUUAUAAUAAUUUUCACAUUUUAGCAUCAUUUUUACUCCAAUUUCAAUAAAAUCCUUGUAUAGCCCUCUAAAUUCAAUAAUUACAAAAAUUUUAUGUCAAUUUUAAAAUAUUUUCAUUUUAGCCCUAAACUCAAAACUAACAAAUUUCACUUUACAAAUUAACCCUAUUACAUAUCUAAGCUUCAAAUUCUACCAUUAAACAUCAAAAGCUUCAAAAUUCAUCAAUGGAAAACUUUUAAAACUUUAACAAUUUUAUAACUUAAUACCCAAGUUAGCUAAAUUAAGUUGCAACAAUUUCAAAAAUAUAAAAUUACGGAUAAACGGUUCCAAAAUCACUUACAUGCAACAGCCGAACUUCUAAGAAUGAAAACAAUGGCUUCUCUUUUUCUUUGGAUGUUCGAACGAUGAAAAGAAGGUAAAAGGGUUGAAGAUGACCUGACAUGCUUUUCUUUUUA